UUUUGUCAGGCAGUGUUUAUGUAACUGAACUGUCCCUUUAAAUCAGUUUGUUCCUCCUGGUAAAUGUAAUCUGGUAAUGAUUAUAGUUGAGUUUCUGCAGAAAUGAAAGUGAAACUCAGAGCAGUCGGGACUUUUAUCAGACUCUCCUUGAUGCUCAUCAGUGUUCAUAUGAUUUCUGUCUGGACAAACAUCACUCACUGAAGCAGAAAGCUCGUUCGUGACGCUGACAGGAAUUAUAUUUAGAUGUGUGCCUGAGAUUAAAAGCACCAUUUAAACAAGAAAUAGAAAUGAAAGAGGAACGAGGAACUGCUGAGGGUAUUUGAGAGAAUUUCCCUUUGUGUUUCCAACGAGACGGCAUUCAACACCUGCAGCAGCAUGUCUGAAUCUACACGUCUGCGAGAUGCUCAAGAACUCUCGUCUCCAUAUAACAGCCUACAUGACAGUUAUGUGUCCAAUAAAACAAAUCAGAAGUGUUCAGUAUCUGCUCUGGUGGCCACCGGGUGUCUGAUUGGUGUUGGGAUAUUGCUGGCCAUCGUGGUGAUCGAGAAAAUAAAACAUGAAAAGGAGAUCAAUGAAGCGCUGAAUCCUCAUCUCUCUUCAACCUGCUGUAAUGACACCGACCCCAAUGAGCAGAGCAGGUGAUCAACUUCCUGUUUUGAGCCUUUCACAUCCUACCACCUGCAAUCUGAACUUCAGAUGAACUUUGCUGAGUUUCUAUUUUUAUAUGGAUUCUUGAUACUGAAUGACUCACACACACACACACACACACACACACACACACACACA